ACGUUAUCAUUCUUGUUAGUUCUAAGUGAAUUCCCUCGGUAUGAUAAUUUGUUCAUCAGUUUGUUCCCCGUUUCUUCUCUAGCCUGAGCCUGACACACUAUUCUAGCUAGACAUGGGUGUGGCUCGUAACACCUGAUGACCAAACGGAUCUACGACACCAUCGAAUCUCAAACUUUAACUACCAAAACUAUUGUUUUUCAUCCUCUAGUCCCUUUUAGAAUUACUAAACGUCCUUUUUUGGGCCGAGAUUUCCAGGAACGCUUUCUCGGGGUUUGUGUGCAUGUAUUUCAAACCAUACAGACCUAAAAAUUAGAAGUCAUUCCAUCUUUAUUCCCGUAGAGCCUUCCAGCAGUUCCUAAACCGCUCCAGUCGGAGCAUGUUAUCAUUCUUGUUUGUUCUGAGUGAAUUCCCUCGGUAUGAUAAUUCUAUCAUCAGUUUGUUCCCCGUUUCUUCUCUAGCCUGAGCCUGGCAAACUAUUCNNNNNNNNNNNNNNNNNNNNNNNNNNNNNNNNNNNNNNNNNNNNNNNNNNNNNNNNNNNNNNNNNNNNNNNNNNNNNNNNNNNNNNNNNNNNNNNNNNNNNNNNNNNNNNNNNNNNNNNNNNNNNNNNNNNNNNNNCUAAACCGCUCUAGUCGGAGCACGUUAUCAUUCUUGUUAGUUCUGAGUGAAUUCCCUCGGUAUGAUAAUUCUUUCAUCAGUUUGUUCCCUGUUUCUUCUCUAGCCUGAGCCUGACACACUAUUCUAGCUAGACAUGGGUGUGGCUCGUAACACCUAAUGACCAAACGGAUCGACGGCACCAUCGAAUCUCAAACUUUAACUGCCAAAACUAUUGUUUUUCAUCCUGUUGUCCCAUUUAGAAUUACUAAACGUCCUUUUUUGGGCCGAGAUUUAGAGGAACGCUUUCUCGGGGUUUGUGUGCAAGUAUUUCAAACCAUACGGACCUAAAAAUUAGAAGUCAUUCCAUCUUUAUUCCCCUAGAGCCUUCCAGCAGUUCCUAAACCGCUCAAGUCAGAGCAUGUUAUCAUUCUUGUUAGUUCUGAGUGAAUUCCCUCGGUAUGAUAAUUCUUUCAUCAGUUUGUUCCCUGUUUCUUCUCUAGCCUGAGCCUGACACACUAUUCUAGCUAGACAUGGGUGUGGCUCGUAACACCUGAUGACCAAACGGAUCUACGACACCAUUGAAUCUCAAACUUUAACUACCAAAACUAUUAUUUUUCAUCCUGUAGUCCCUUUUAGAAUUACUAAACGUCCUUUUUUGGGCCGAGAUUUCCAAGAACGCUUUCUCGUGGUUUGUGUGCAAGUAUUUCAAACCAUACAGACCUAAAAAUUAGAAGUCAUUCCAUCUUUAUGCCCGUAGAGCCUUCCAGCAGUUCCUAAACCGCUCCAGUCGGAGCACGUUAUCAUUCUUAUUAGUUCUGAGUGAAUUCCCUCAGUAUGAUAAUUCUUUCAUAAGUUUGUUCCCCAUUUCUUCUCUAGCCUGAGCCUGGCACACUAUUCUAGCUAGACAUGGGUGUGGCUCAUAACACUUGUUGACUAAAUGGAUCGACGGCACCAUCGAAUCUCAAACUUUAACUGCCAAAACUAUUGUUUUUCAUCCUGUAGUCCCAUUUAGAAUUAUUAAACGUCCUUUUUUGGGCCGAUAUUUAGAGUAAUGCUUUCUCGGGGUUUGUCUGCAAGUAUUUCAAACCAUACGGACCUAAAAAUUAGAAGUCAUUCCAUCUUUAUUCCCCUAGAGCCUUCCAGCAGUUCCUAAACCGCUCUAGUCGGAGCACGUUAUCAUUCUUGUUAGUUCUGAGUGAAUUCCCUCAGUAUGAUAAUUCUUUCAUCUGUUUGUUCCCCGUUUCUUCUCUAGCCUGAGCCUGACACACUAUUCAAGCUAGACAUGGAUGUGGCUCGUAACACCUGAUGACCAAACGGAUCUACGGCACCAUCGAAUCCCAAACUUUAACUGCCAAAACUAUUGUUUUUCAUCCUGUAGUCCCUUUUAGAAUUACUAAACGUCCUUUUUUGGGCCGAGAUUUCCAGGAAUGCUUUCUCGGGGUUUGUGUGCAAGUAUUUCAAACCAUACAAAGCUAGAAAUUAGAAGUCAUUCCAUCUUUAUUAUCGUAGAGCCUUCCAGCAGUUCCUAAACCGGUCUAGUCGGAGCACGUUAUCAUUCUAGUUAGUUCUGAGUGAAUUCCCUCGGUAUGAUAAUUCUUUCAUCAGUUUGUUCCCCGUUUCUUCUCUAGCCUGAGCCUGACAAACUAUUCUAGCUAGACAUGCGUGUGGCUCGUAACACCUGAUGACCAAACGGAUCUAUAGCACCAUCGAAUCUCAAACUUUAACUGCCAAAACUAUUGUUUUCAUCCUGUAGUCCCUUUUAGAAUUACUAAACUUCCUUUUUUGGGCCGAGAUUUAGAGGAACGCUUUCUGGGGUUUGUGUGCAAGUAUUUCAAACCAUACAGACCUAAAAAUUAGAAGUCAUUCCAUCUUUAUUCCCCUAGAGCCUUCCAGCAGUUCCUAAACCGCUCUAGUCGGAGCACGUUAUCAUUAUUGUUAGUUCUGAGUGAAUUCCCUCGGUAUGAUAAUUCUUUCAUCAGUUUGUUCCCUGUUUCUUCUCUAUCCUGAGCCUGACACACUAUUCUAGCUAGACAUGGGUGUGGCUCGUAACACCUGAUGACUAAAUGGAUCGACGGCACCAUCGAAUCUCAAACUUUAACUGCCAAAACUAUUGUUUUUCAUCCUGUAGUCCCAUUUAGAAUUAGUAAACGUCCUUUUUUGGGCCGAGAUUUAGAGGAACGCUUUCUCGGGGUUUGUGUGCAAGUAUUUCAAACCAUACGGACCUAAAAAUUAGAAGUCAUUCCAUCUUUAUUCCCCUAGUCAUCAGGUAUACACUCAAGUCGGAGCACGUUAUCAUUCUUGUUAGUUCUGAGUGAAUUCCCUCGGUAUGAUAAUUCUUUCAUAAAUUUGUUCCCCGUUUCUUAUAUGGCCUGAGCCUGACACACUAUUCUAGCUAGACAUGGGUGUGGCUCGUAACACCUGAUGACCAAACGGAUCUACGGCACCAUCAAAUCUCAAACUUUAACUGCCAAAACUAUUCUUUUUCAUUCUGUAGUCCCUUCUAGAAUUACUAAACGUCCUUUUUUGGGCCGAGAUUUCCAGGAACGCUUUCUCGGGGUUUGUGUGCAUGUAUUUCAAACCAUACAGACCUAAAAAUUAUAAGUCAUUCCAUCUUUAUUCCCGUAGAGCCUUCCAGUAGUUCCUAAACCGCUCCAGUCGGAGCAUGUUAUCAUUCUUGUUAGUUCUAAGUGAAUUCCCUCGGUAUGAUAAUUCUUUCAUCAGUUUGUUCCCCGUUUCUUCUCUAGCCUGAGCCUGGCACACUAGUCUAGCUAGACAUGGGUGUGGCUCGUAACACCCGAUGACUAAAUGGAUCGACGGCACCAUCGAAUCUCAAACUUUAACUGCCAAAACUAUUGUUUUUCAUCCUGUAGUCCCAUUUAGAAUUACUAAACGUCCUUUUUUGGGCCGAGAUUUAGAGGAACGCUUUCUCGUGGUUUGUGUGCAAGAAUUUCAAACCAUACGGACCUAAAAAUUAGAAGUCAUUCCAUCUUUAUUCCCCUAGAGCCUUCCAGUAGUUCCUAAACCGCUCUAGUCGGAGCACGUUAUCAUUCUUGUUAGUUCUGAGAGAAUUCCCUCGGUAUGAUAAUUCUUUUAUCAGUUUGUUCCCCGUUUCUUCUCUAGCCUGAGCCCGACACACUAUUCUAGCUAGACAUGGGUGUGGCUCGUAACACCUGAUGACCAAACGGAUCUACGGCACCAUCGAAUCUCAAACUUUAACUGCCAAAACUAUUGUUUUUCAUCCUGUAGUCCCUUUUAGAAUUACUAAAUGUCCUUUUUUGGGCCGAGAUUUCCAGGAACGCUUUCUCAGGGUUUGUGUGCAAGUAAUUCAAACCAUACGGACCUAAAAAUUAGAAGUCAUUCCAUCUUUAUUCCCCUAGAGCCUUCCAGCAGUUCCUAAACCGCUCAAGUCAGUGCACGUUAUCAUUCUUGUUAGUUCUAAGUGAAUUCCCUCGGUAUGAUAAUUUGUUCAUCAGUUUGUUCCCCGUUUCUUCUCUAGCCUGAGCCUGACACACUAUUCUAGCUAGACAUGGGUGUGGCUCGUAACACCUGAUGACCAAACGGAUCUACGACACCAUCGAAUCUCAAACUUUAACUACCAAAACUAUUGUUUUUCAUCCUCUAGUCCCUUUUAGAAUUACUAAACGUCCUUUUUUGGGCCGAGAUUUCCAGGAACGCUUUCUCGGGGUUUGUGUGCAUGUAUUUCAAACCAUACAGACCUAAAAAUUAGAAGUCAUUCCAUCUUUAUUCCCGUAGAGCCUUCCAGCAGUUCCUAAACCGCUCCAGUCGGAGCAUGUUAUCAUUCUUGUUUGUUCUGAGUGAAUUCCCUCGGUAUGAUAAUUCUAUCAUCAGUUUGUUCCCCGUUUCUUCUCUAGCCUGAGCCUGGCAAACUAUUCUAGCUAGACAUGGGUGUGGCUCGUAACACCUGAUGACCAAACGGAUCUACGACACCAUCGAAUCUCAAACUUUAACUACCAAAACUAUUGUUUUUCAUUCUAUAGUCCCUUCUAGAAUUUCUAAACGUCCUUUUUUGGGCCGAGAUUUCCAGGAAUGCUUUCUCGGGGUUUGUGUGCAAGUAUUUCAAAUCAUACGGACCUAAAAAUUAGAAGUCAUUCCAUCUUUAUUCCCCUAGAGCCUUCCAGUAGUUCCUAAACCGCUCCAGUCGGAGCACGUUAUCAUUCUUGUUAGUUCAUAGUGAAUUCCCUCGGUAUGAUAAUUCUUUCAUCAGUUUGUUCCCCGUUUCUUCUCUAGCCUGAGCCUGGCACAGUAUUCUAGCUAGACAUGGGUGUGGUCGUAACACCUGAUGACUAAAUGGAUCGACGGCACCAUCGAAUCUCAAACUUUAACUGCCAAAACUAUUGUUUUUCAUCCUGUAAUCCCAUUUAGAAUUACUAAACGUCCUUUUUUGGGCCGAGAUUUAGAGGAACGCUUUGUUGGGGUUUGUGUGCAAGUAUUUCAAACCAUACGGACCUAAAAAUUAGAACUCAUUCCAUAUUUAUUCCCCUUGAGCCUUCCAGCAGUUCCUAAACCGCUCUAGUCGGAGCACGUUAUCAUUCUUGUUAGUUCUAAGAGAAUUCCCUCGGUAUGAUAAUUCUUUUAUCAGUUUGUUCCCCGUUUCUUCUCUAGACUGGGCCCGACACACUAUUCUAGCUAGACAUGGGUGUGGCUCGUAACACCUGAUGACCAAACGGAUCUACGGCACCAUCGAAUCUCAAACUUCAACUGCCAAAACUAUUGUUUUUCAUCCUGUAGUCCCUUUUAGAAUUACUAAACGUCCUUUUUUGGGCCGAGAUUUCCAGGAACGCUUUCUCGGGGUUUGUGUGCAAGUAUUUCAAACCAUACGGACCUAAAAAUUAGAAGUCAUUCCAUCUUUAUUCCCGUAGAGCCAUCCAGCAGUUCCUAAACCGCUCCAGUCGGAGCACGUUAUCAUUCUUGUUAGUUCUGAGUGAAUUCCCUCGGUAUGAUAAUUCUUUCAUCAGUUUGUUCCCCGUUUCUUCUCUAGCCUGAGCCUGACAAACUAUUAUAGCUAGACAUGGGUGUGGCUCGUAACACCUGAUGACCAAACGGAUCUAUGGCACCAUCGAAUCUCAAACUUUAACUGCCAAAACUAUUGUUUUUCAUCCUGUAGUCCCUUUUAGAAUUACUAAACGCCCUUCUUUGGGACGAGAUUUCCAGGAACGCUUUCUCGGGGUUUGUGUGAAAGUAAUUCAAACCAUACGGACCUAAAAAUUAGAAGUCAUUCCAUCUUUAUUCCCGUGGAGCCUUCCAGUAGUUCCUAAACCGCUCCAGUCGGAGCACGUUAUCAUUCUUGUUAGUUCUGAGUGAAUUCCCUCGGUAUGAUAAUUCUUUCAUCAGUUUGUUCCCUGUUUCUUCUCUAGCCUGAGCCUGGCACACUAUUCUAGCUAGACAUGGGUGUGGCUCGUAACACCUGAUGACUAAACUGAUCAAUGACACCAUCGAAUCUCAAACUUUAACUGCCAAAACUAUUGUUUUUCAUCCUGUAGUCCCAUUUAGAAUUACUAAACGUCCUUUUUUGGGCCGAGAUUUCCAGGAACGCUUACUCGGGGUUUGUGUGCAAGUAUUUCAAACCAUACUGACCUAAAAAUUAGAAGUCAAUCCAUCUUUAUUCCCCUAGAGCCUUCCAGCAGUUCCUAAACCGCUCCAGUCGGAGCACGUUAUCAUUCUUGUUAGUUCUGAGUGAAUUCCCUCGGUAUGAUAAUUCUUUCAUCAGUUUGUUCCUUGUUUCUUCUCUAGCCUGAACCUGACACACUAUUCUAGCUAGACAUGGGUGUGGCUCGUAACACCUGAUGACCAAACGGAUCUACGGCACCAUCGAAUCUCAAACUUUAACUGCCAAAACUAUUAUUUUUAAUCCUCUAGUCCCAUUUAGAAUUACUAAACGUCCUUUUUUGGGCCGAGAUUUAGAGGAACGCUUUCAUGCGGUUUGUGUGCAAGUAUUUCAAACCAUACGGACCUAAAAAUUAGAAGUCAUUCCAUCUUUAUUCCCCUAGAGCCUUCCAGCAGUUCCUAAACCGCUCCAGUCGGAGCAUGUUAUCAUUCUUGUUAGUUCUGAGUGAAUUCCCUCGGUAUGAUAAUUCUUUCAUCAGUUUGUGGCCCGUUUCUUCUCUAGCCUGAGCCUGACACACUAUUCUAGCUAGACGUGGGUGUGGCUCGUAACACCUGAUGACCAAACGGAUCUACGGCACCAUCGAAUCUCAAACUUUAAGUGCCAAAACUAUUAUUUUUAAUCCUGUAGUCCCAUUUAGAAUUACAAAAAUGUCCUUUUUUGGGCUGAGAUUUCCAGGAACGCUUUCGUGCGGUUUGUGUGCAAGUAUUUCAAACCAUACAGACCAAAAAAUUAGAAGUCAUUCCAUCUUUAUUCC
rnacentral:lncRNA from 1 species